CCUCCUUUUAGAUACUGAAAGACUGCUACCAGUUGUCCCCAGAGCCUUCGCUUCUCCAGGGUGAAUAGCCCCAGUUCUCUCAUCCUGUCCUCAGAGGGGAGGUAUUCCAUCCCAUAGACUUUUCCCUUGGAAAAAUGAUUUCCUCUCCUCUCGUUUCAUCUCUGUUUUAUCCCCUUCACACAAAGGAAUGUCUGUCCUCCCAGCUCCUCUGUAUGGAUGUCCUUGCAUACGCGCACAUGCUGCUGACAAAGGCUGGCAGGGUCCAUCAGUAUCCAUGGUGGAACAUUUGUAAAGGAUUCAAGGUGGAGUUCAGACAAGUACCAGAAAGCAGAGAUCCCUUAAUUCUCCUCUUGGUUUCGUGACUGUGAACCAGAAAUCAUCCAGUGUAGAACACCAUUCAGUGUGUCCAGUCAGACCAUAAAAACAGCCCUAAUGCCUAAGGCCAGAGGUAUAUCCAGCCCACCUAGC
ensembl:lncRNA